AUUGAACGCUGGCGGCAUGCCUAACACAUGCAAGUCGAACGAGUGGCGGACGGGUGGGUAAUGUAUGGGCACGUGCGCAAUGGAGGGGGCUGACUGCUGGAAAAGGUGGAUAAUACCGCAUACCAUCGGAUCGGCCCAGAUUGGAUGAGCUAGUCGGUGGGGUAACGGCUCACCUAGGCGACGCUCCCUAGCUGGUCUGAGAGGAGGACCAGCCACACUGGAACUGAGACACGGCCCAGACUCCUACGGGAGGCAGCAGUGGGGAAUAUUCGGCAAUGGACGCAAGCCUGAUCCAGCCAUGCCGCGUGUAUGAAGAAGGUCUUCGGGUUGUAAAGCACUUUUGGCAGGGAAGCGGUAUCUGCAGAAGAAGCACCGGCUAACUACGUGCCAGCAGCCGCGGUAAUAC
rnacentral:rRNA from 1 species